AGUUCUCUCAGAACCCUCUGCAGAAAUGAUCAGAGACUUGAACACCGAGGCAGACAAGCCAAUUCGGUAUUGAGCAAGAUACCUUGGACUGAGAAAAUCUCCUGAGAAGAGGGCAUGCAGAAAGGAGCAAGGCCGAACAACUUCGACUUUCCUUUCUUGGAUUCAUUACAAACAACAUAGAUGUGGAUGCUCAAGUCCUCUGAUGGUCCUUAAAAAUAGGCAGGUCUUUGAAAAGGAAUAACCAAAGUAAGAAGAAGCUCCAAGAAUAUUUGGAGCAAUUACUAUUGACUGGGCAAGCCUCAGUUCUACUGUAACUGGCCUGGGGGAGGCGGGCAGCUAGCUUGGUGUGUUCAUAUUCCAUGUCUUCUGCCUUUGCUGGUGGAAGCUGGACACCCACGUUCAUUCCAGGAGACCAGGGCUCCAUAUCGAUUCUAAAAUACACUAGUUAUGUUAUGUGACAUGUGCUUGCUGAUCCGGCCUAAUAGAACAUCAAUUAUGUGUUCUAACAUAACAAGCCAUGUUCAGACUGCCAAGUCGAUGCUCAGGCCCAAAGGAAAUCUCUAAAGUUACUCGUUACCUUCAGCAAGGUCUCUCUGUCGCUUACAGUCUUCAGAAUAGGCUCUGAAGUGCCCUCUUAGAAAAGUUGUUAAUUUCUUGGCAUCAUUAAGAAAUCACAACUUUCAUGAAUAUCAGUGUAGGGCGGAGGAAGAACAUGCCUGCUGAUAUAUGUACAAGAAGAGCAGUCCCUCCUUGCCAAUGCCACAGCAAUGUUUGAGCACACCCUCUUGCUUCCACCAAUGAUGCCAUGUGAGAGCUAAAAACUUGUUCUGACUUACUUCCCAGCAGCAUAGACCUCAGCUGUGUCGAAGAGAUUAACUCCACUUUCGUAGGCAAUUGUCAUCAGCCGUUCAGCAACCUGCAAGAGGAUGCAAGGGUCAGUCAGAAAUGCCAGGCAUUCUUCCUAGCUGGGAAGCAAUGUUAAAUCCUUUAUCCACCGUUCACUCUGAGAUCCUAUGAACCACUUGUGUUUUUCUCAGCUGUAGUGAGUGACAAGAGAAAGAGAAGUAUAAGGCAGGUGAUUCUCCUACCCUCAGACACUGGGUAGGCUGUAAUCUCACUCUUGGCGGGGUGUGUUUUGUUGCCCACGGAGCACUGAGGGGUUCAGAUCUGUGUUUUCCACCCUGCUGGGAAGACCUUAUAUGAGAACACCCUCCGUGACAUCUAAUCUUGCUGACAAAGAGGGUCAUCUGUAUCAAAGCUGACUCCAACCCUCAAGCCCUUUCUGCAAGUCAAUAGCUUCUGGCAGUUGGAUGACUCCUGACCUAAAAGCUUGUGACUUUGCUCAAGGCCUGGCCAACUGUGCUGAUGAAUCACAGGCCAGACAAUCAUGACUGUUGUUAAAGCUCCUGCCACCCACAGUUCAGUGGAACAAUAAGCAUCAUCUUGGUGCUGCUGCUGAGUCAACACAGGGGAGGGAGCAAGCUCCUCUGGACUCAGGCUAGAAUGGGUCAGGGCUCCGUGUUCCAUCCUCCUUGCUGCUCAGGGCAAGUAAGAGCGUGCCAGGAGAGGAGAGGGCUACCUGCAACAAUCAGCCUAAGGUGGAGCUGUAGGAGGAUGCUGGAAAACGGCAGUGGAGGAAUCUUUCUCCACUUUGCUGAUUAAUUUGCUAGAUGUUUGAACAUUUUUUUUCCACUUCGCACAUAAUAACAAUUGAUUUUCCAUUAUGUUCUUUGGUGGUGGACUAAAGUUGCUUCACCAGCGUUUCUAAUAUAGACUGUUUCUGGUGUUUUAAAAAUUAGCCUCUCAAGACCAUGGGUAGGCUAGUGUGCAUAUCCACUAGCAUUACCCACAAGGAAGCAGUUACUGAUUUUUAAUUUGAUAAGAUUAAGACAUUAUUUUAAAGCAAAGUUGAAAAGUAAAGCAAAUAUAGGUUUCCUCAUUCUGACUGUCCUGUUUUAGAUGACGGCAAAAAAUUAUUGUGGUAUGUCUUACAGCAUAUUGGUGGGUUAUUUAUUAGGAAAUGUAACAAUUACAUCUUAGCUACAGAGAAGUUUUGAAAUGGAGUACCUGAGAAUAGACACCCUUCCCAGUCACAGGGUCUGAAGACCUUAUGUGGAAUAAUGGGAAAAACAUUGAAGUCUAAAGACUGGAUUUAGGCCUUGAUAUAGUUUUAAUCUGAAAUGUCUUUCAAGUCCCCUGCAUUUGGUCCCUGAUCUAUAGCAUCUUUUGGAGAUGGAAGACUCCUUAGGAGGUGUGGCCUAGUGGUAGAAAGCUAAGUCACUAGGCUCCUGCCUGUCUUUACUUCCUGGAGCUUGCAGUUCUCCAGCACGAAGAACAUUAUGGCCAUUUUUACCUGCUUGGAGCUGAGAACUCCUGGAAGACCAAGAGAAAGCUGAAAGAUCAGGGAAGUAAACUCAUUGUUAUUGGCUUACAGUUUUAGCUCCCAGAAAAGAGGUGGGAUUGAGCCAUUCAGUUGUGAGUGUGAUUGGGUUUGGCUAGUCGUCCUUGUUCCUCCUUGUGGACAGCUCUGCAGGACCCUUCCCACAGCUGCUCUCCAGAAGGACUCUAGCUGUUGGAUGUACGUCUGUGUUAGUGUCUCUGCAAAUGUUCAUGACAACUUUAUUGUGCAAUUUUGAGAGCUGGAAUUUUGAAAUGGCUCAUCACAGAGGUCAGUCCUGCAUGUCCAGACAUGAGAUCCCUACAGCAGAGGACAGACAGUAUGAAGGGGAGAUCAGAGACUUGUGGUGAGUAGGGGUGGAGACUAGAUUUGCCCACAAGGCUAGCCACCAUUGCCUUUUUCCUUCUACGCAGUGCACUAGGCACUGGCAGGUUGCAUGCAGGCUGGAGACCCUGGCUGUGAACUUCCUUCCUUCCUAUGUUGCUGCUUACUUCCAGCCUAACAGUGUCUGUGGCCUUUGCUGUACUCCCUGUGACUGUGCCUUUGUGUUACCCCCAUACAUCCCUACCUGAUGCCAGUCAUACGGUCUCUUGAUGUGCACCUGGGUCCUCCUGUGGGGAGAAAGGACUUCUUCCUUCUUAGCUACUGGGAGUGUGGCUGUUGAAAGACUUUUUGCUGCCAGCCCCCUAAAACUCUGCUUGGCUGGAGUCACCCAAGAUCUGCUAAGCUAGCCUUACCUAAUGACUGGGCAGCACAGUUAUACACACACACACACACACACACACACACACACACACACCCAAGAAGAAAAAAAAUGUUAGGAAGGAAAGACAAUCCCUACUGCACAUUGUCUUCAUUAGAACUGUAGAAGCUAAAAUCAGCUUACCUCAUCUGAGAUUUGACCUCCAAAUGUCACCCAUGUUCCUGGAAGAGAACAAAUAUUUGUGCAUUAUUUGUAGCCAUUUUUCUAAGAUUGUACAUAAUAAGAGCAGACUUUUGUAUCAAGCAGAUAGUUCCUAAAUGUACUUAGAUGAGGGCACAUGCAGCCUGUUGUCUAGCCUCCCACUGUCCCCUGUCCACUUCCUAAAUAUUCCAGAAAGGGUCUAUGAACCUUUGGGAGAAGAGUGCUUCUUCAAGCCACCAUGGAUGCUUGUGGCAGGCAGCCCUGGCCUACAAUGAGACUUUGCUUCUGCUAUGGGACCAAAUACACAAGGAGCCAGUGCUAUGUAGCUUACUUGGGCUAUACACCUAUUUUUCCUCUUCUGCAGUUAAAGGCUCAUUCUGACAUCGAGCACAAGCAAGGGUCCACAGCCUCAGUGAACCUGACCUUGACUUCUUGCCUUUGCCCUAACAAGACUUUUUUUUUUUGUAUUUUCUGUUCCCUUUUAAGAGGACCUUCUCAGACAUCUGCCAGACUCUGUUUACAAGACCUGGGUGGUGACAGUUCAUGUACCUUCUCUGUAUGAUCUGCCCUGGGAAGUCUCUGUUGGCUUGGGGUGAAGAUAGAGGCAGGAACCAAGGCAAAGACAAAGAAGGCAAAGGGAAGGAGACAUAGCUAGCAGCCUGUGUAAAGCGAGACACUGAGCAGGCACGUUAUGCUCAUCUCCAGCAAGCCUCUUUAGUCAAUUCCUUCCUCAUCCAUUUUUGGGUGUGGGGGCUUAAGUAUAUCAAUGACAUCACACUCAUGUACUUAAGGUAGAGAGGUGAUGUUACAGAUUCCGUCUUCAACGAAUAGUUAAUAGUUUAUCUUGAUAAAUGCUCAAACCAAGACAAACUCAAGGCAGACUGGCAGAGAGUACUUUACCUUACGUCUGGGAGUAAAGCAUUCAUGGAGGACUUUCUAGAAAAGGUGACACCUUGGUUGAGUCUUAUAGGAGUAAAAGG
ensembl:antisense